GAGCGCUAGCCAGCCUGUUGCAGUGUGCUCAGCAUGAAAUGGCAAUGGCAUGCCAAGAGGGAUGCCAAAGCACGCUUCUCUAGGGAGGACCAAGCCAGACCCAUUUCAAAUGCAAAAUACUGACAUGCAGGAGUCAACUGAGUUUCCUCAGUUUUGUGGUUAAGGGAUCACAGCAGCGUGUUGAGCAGUGAGGUGAUUGCUGCGGUCUGUGGUCAAAGCCGAUUUGUCUGCGUGAGCUCCUGGAGAGCGGCACAGGCAUUAAAUGGCCAUUUCAUGGGACAAGGCAGUGAUUUCCCAACUGGGACUUCUGCCCAGGAUGGGACCUCUUAUUCUUACCACAGUUAAGGAAAAUGGGACAGUGUGCAUGAAAUGCAAAUGGCACUAAGAGUGUCUGCUUCUAACAGGAAUAGAAACUGCAGAACUGCAAGUACCUACUGCCACUCAACAAUGAAAAGUAUUGAUGUGAAACCUAAUAAUUUCUUAUUAUUGAUAUAUUACUAUUAUGCCCAGGCACCUCUGAAGAAGGUGGCAUAGAUAUGCCCCUUGUGACUAAUGAAAUAAGCUACAUAAGAUCAGAGCCUUGUUUUGCUGCAUCCUGUAUGGACAUAAAAGAUAGUCCCUGCCCAGACAGAAUGCAGCCUAAAUGGGGUUUAAGGCAUGACAGGGCAUCCAAAACAUGUAUGAGUAGGAGGAAGGAGGCACAGAAUAAAAGGGCUUGCAUAUUGUGAGCACUGUAGUACAACUGGGGCUAACAAGGGGACUUGAAGAGAGAAUUGGUUGGGAAGUUGUUGAGGGGGUUCCCCCACAUAUAAGAGGCAGCAUAAAAAACAGCAAAAAGGUGCCCAGGGAGUCGGGGGCGACAACGUAUCAAGAGAAAAGGUGGGAUCAUUGGCAGGAAAAAGGACACAGAGACGAGUCUGUAGCUAUCACAACCCCCGUAAACACUUGUAAAAGGUACAGCUAAACAUGGAGUGACAAAACACUUUUACACUUCCAUAAAUGAUUUAUGAAGUGUUCAUGGAAAUGAGGUGAAAAAUGAAUUACAAAUUUACAGUCUGCUGAGGAAAAUAUCUGUGGUAAUGAUCUUAAUUUAUAUAGCAUAUUCCAUCCUCAAGGGUCCUUGGAGCACAGUUGGAUUCAACAGCAGUCUAGACAUCUGCAUAAAAGUUAUCAUAUUAGCCAAGUGUGUCAAUACCUUUCUGAUGGAGAUGUCCAGAGCUGAUUGCACUAUUCCACAUCGAGUUCAACUGGGGCAAGUUGGUCAGUGCCGCCUCUCUGUUCUGGGAUUCAUUACCUUUGUGUAAAAGGUGAACUCAUCUCAAGGGGUAGGAGGGCACGUUCUGAGCAUGAAACAGUUUAGUAAUGGCCUGAUAUCUUGCAGUGGCCAGAGGAAAUGCUACACAGACACACUGAAGGCAGACCUCAAGAAAACGGAUGCUGACAUCAAGAGCUGGGAGGAGCUGACUGAUGACUGACUCCAGUGGUGCAGCAACCUCAACCAAGCGGCAACCUGUUCUGAGGUCACUGUUUGAGAUUUUCCAGGCAGAAGACCACUACUCCAAAGAAGACAGAGUGACUUGCCUUUCAGUAACCAGCUCUUGGGGUGAAGGGCACAAGAGCAACCAGGCAAAGGAUGCUGUGGAGCAGAAAAAAUAGUUCCAGUUGCCUGUCCUGGGAGUGCAUGAACAUCCUAGAGGGGCAUAUAUAUGGACAGAACAUUGCAAAGAACACCAGGUCCAGUGAAGUAAGUGAUCUUCUUGUCUUUCCUUUCAAUUU